GUCUUAUGCAGCUCUCCAAAUAAUGCUGUAAGGUAGCAUUGUGGAAACUGAAACCCCUAAAAGUUAACUUGGUGGUAGCUUGUAAUUGAGAAAUAGAAUGUAAACCAAGGUGGUUAUACUUAAUGCCCUGUGCUCUUAAAACAGUAUCAUGCUGCCUCCUUGGAGGAAUCCUUAAUUCAAGUAGGAAGAUUUUUCCUUAUUACAUCUUUGCGACUAAGUUACUGUUUUUAUGACUUUAGGCAAAUCAAUUGAACUGAGCAAGGAAGGUCUUGAUUCAAUGAUUUCUCAAGUCCUUUUUCCUUUUUUUUUUUUUUGUCAAGGGAGUGUCCUCUAGCUGAGUGAAGUCAUUUUUCCUUGAAUGACUGACAGAAUGGCUUUGGUUCACCUGUAAUUCACAGUUUAGCUGAUCCAGUGUACUGUAAAGUCUGUUUCACUCCACCAGCCAACAAGGAGCAGGCGGCCGUGGUUUUCUCAUGUUCUGGGGGAAGCUGUUUGUCAGUGUUAACCUGGCUAACUUUGGACAGCUGCAACAACAACAUCUAUCCCUUGGCAUAUGGUGUGUUUAGAUGCUAAACACUGCCUCAUCUGUGAGUACUUCAGUUUUUGUUUAUAGCGAAGGACUCUCGCCAUGUUGCCCAGACUCAUCUCAAACUACUGGACCCAGACAAUCCUCACACUUUGGCCUCCCAAAAUGCUGAGAUUACAGGCUUACCUAAAGUUAACAUCUGAUGACAUGAUCGCAACUCCAUAUCCUGAGUUGAUUUCAACCUAUGAUGUUGGAAUUUUCCACAUGGAGAUAAACACUGGGAAGCAGCUAAUCAUUCUCUCUGGAUUUAUAAGGAACAAAUGGAUAAGUGAAACUUGAAAACAAUGGCCAAAGUACUAAGAACUAAUGUUUCUUCAACAAAACAAAUACUUUUACUUUAAGAACAGAAGAUAAAAGGCCAAAGUUGUAAUAUAAGACAAAUUACGGAAAUAUACACUUAUACAUAUAAAACCACUCCUCUUUUUAAAAAAUCAUGCUUUUUAAGAAGAAUCUUCUCAUAUCAGUGAGAAAGAAAGUUAUCUUAACAAACAAAAAGUAUUUUGAAAAAAAGCGUUCACAUGUAUAAGAAAGAAAAUGAACAAAUAAAUAGGAAAAAAGAUCUCUGGUUCAACCAUAUCAAAGCUUCUUCAUGUUUGUUAUUUUACUCUAAAGGACACCUCCCUGAUCUUGAACUGAUAAUACAGUUAAAAGAAUUAACAGAAAGAGAGAGGGAUAGAAAUGGUCACGUACAGAAUGAAAAAUAAAGGAAAUUUUUUUCUUAUUAUUUUCCUAAUUUGUCUUAAUUCAAAU
rnacentral:lncRNA from 1 species